rnacentral:lncRNA from 1 species
CAUUUCCCACGUCGAGCAGCACCACUACUGCGCUUAAUCAGAGCUUCUUCUUCUGCGGGAAUCGUCCUCACAUGUUAGAAAGGCAUCCAUCGUUGUAAAAGCUCCUAGAUCUUCCCCUUAGCCUCUCCACUAAGCUCGAGAGGCAAGUGGACGUUUCCUCCGAAAGACGCCAUCUCGUUGUCCUUGGAACGCAACCUCUGCAAAUUUUGACGUAGGCAUAGUGAGUCUUCUGUCCAGAUUCUAGCUACCUUUGCUCACACAGGCUGUGUUGUUUUCCGGAUCCUUUAGCUUUUCGUUAAGCCUUUUGCACCAUCGAAAGGACUGACGAUUAUUAAAUGGGUUGUGAGUGGGUGUUUCCACCCAAAAGGGUGCAGCGAUGGCCAUACAAUAUUGAUGCUGCUCCUGCAACUUGUCAUUGUGGGUGAAAGGGGAGGAGUGUGGGCUAGAAGGGGAAGUGAAGUGGUUACGGUCUCACGAGAAGCAUCGCUCCACCCUCCCCAUUUAAAAGCCCUCAACACAUGAGGCAUGUGGCAACCCCAACUCGGUUCUUAAACGAUGAAGAAACAUGAACAAGAUGAACAAGAAGUAAGGAAUUAGUGGUGGUGGUGGUGGUGGUGGCUGUGGGCCUCAGUGAUUCUGGCUCUGAAAUCCACAAAAUUUAAUUGUAAACAUGUAUUCGUUCAGAUAUAACUGGUUUAGGUUCAUGUUGAUGUUGAACAUCCACAGAUAAAUAUAUAUACAUCAUGCCAUAUAAGUGGUAUGUUUUUACAAUGUAUUGUGUUUUAAUGAUGAAGAACUUCUAUUUUGUAUAGUAAGAGCUUUAUUGUUGUGCAAAUAAUGUUGCACAAUA